UUCAUCUGGGGUACCACAGUCAGUGACUCUUUUGCUCCCUCCCACAUCCUGGAUGCUGCGGUAAAUGGGACAGUCAUUGCUACUGUAGCCAAAUGGAACAAAACCCUAAAGUAUCGGGACCUGGCAGUGAACUAUAUUUUCCAGCCUGUGACGUUUGGAAUGACUGGGUCACUAACCACGAAGUUCUUGUCAUCAUUGGCAGCUCGCCUCACCGCAUGUAACCUUAACUUUGACUAAGGCCGCUGCAUAUAACCUUGAAAUCAAACAGUGACUGAAGACAGACUAUGCAGAACUAAAACAACAGCGGACACCUUCUACAAAGACAUGAUAAUUGGGAAGUCAAACCGCCAAUCCUUCGGUAUUAGUAGACGACGCCAUUCACGCUCUUGUUUAGCCUAACCUCUUUAUCUAUGUCAUAAGGGAAACUUGUGUGGGUGAUCGGCGUCGUCUACUAGUAACGAAGGAUUGCUGACAAAUCGAAUUGUGGAUAGAAGGUGCGUACACAAAAGGCUAUAAGAACCAUAUUUCCUCUAUAAGGCCUCUGAUAUACGAAUGGAACUAUAAUACACACACAUACAUACAUAUAUAUAUAUAUAUAUAUAUAUAUUUGUCUAGACACACACACUCACAACAAACUUAUGGUGCAUUACAAAGCGUCGUAAAAGGGUAAGAGAGAUGGCAGAAAGCAGUAUUGUCAGGUGAAGAAAUACAGCUAUAAUAACCAAAAAUCGAGAACACAGAACAAAUGCCGGACGAAAAACGAGAAGAGAUUUUAAAGCUACGUUAUUUUGCUAAGGUUAAUAAACUGAAAAAAAUGUGGAAAAAUUAAUAUUUAUAUAUACAAAGGAAAGAAUUGUUGGGUGAAACAGAUGAUAGCGUGAAGAUAUUUAAAUUUAUUAAAGCUCAACAACGGAAGUCACGUGGAAGUUUGUUGUUGUUCCCAUGCUUACCUGCAGAAGUAAUGAUGUGUCCAAGGGGAAAGGAUGGAUCCUCUGUUGCUGCUAACACCAACCAACAGCUCUUGGGACAAAUAUCUGGCAGAUCUUCGAAAUUAACCCACAAUGAUAUUCAGCACGGCUGCAGUUCAAUGACACCUGGCUACUCUGGUUAUGCACUGUUACCUGCUCUGCACCUUUUUGACGAAUGACUUCUAACACAAACUUUCUCAUAUACUUCAUCUUCAUUUUCUGAUUUGUCCACCACAUCACAUUUGCAGAAAUGUGUUCUCAGAAAGGAAUCCUUGCCUUGAUACUCAAGGAUUUAUUGAAGUCCUGUACUAGAAGCUGUCUUAAUUAUCAGGUGGAUUUGAAACUCAAGGCUGCAUCAGUGUCAGCAAGAAGACCAUGCUUGUUUACUCGGCAUUCACAGGAAUUCUUCUGUUUUCCAUGUUAUGUGUGAUAAUUGCAAUAUAUGAUCCUUGCAAUGGAAGAUCCGUUAGGGACAGUUUGUGUGAAUUGUAUGAAGAUGGAAUGGUAUCUGGUAGAUUGUGUUAUUCUUUGUGUAAAGAGAGGGUGCCGGUGUUGUCAAAUUGCUUAAAACAGCAGCCAAACCUCAAGGUAUGUUAACGUUCGCAUUCACAUUUACAA
rnacentral:misc_RNA from 1 species